CACGAACGCUGGCGGCAGGCUUAACACAUGCAAGUCGAGCGCCCCGCAAGGGGAGCGGCAGACGGGUGAGUAACGCGUGGGAAUCUACCCAUCUCUACGGAAUAACGUAUGGAAACGUGUGCUAAUACCGUAUACGUCCUUCGGGAGAAAGAUUUAUCGGAGAUGGAUGAGCCCGCGUUGGAUUAGCUAGUUGGUGGGGUAAAGGCCUACCAAGGCGACGAUCCAUAGCUGGUCUGAGAGGAUGAUCAGCCACACUGGGACUGAGACACGGCCCAGGCUCCUGCGGGAGGCAGCAGUGGGGAAUAUUGGACAAGGGGCGCAAGCCUGAUCCAGCCGUGCCGCGUGAGUGAUGAAGGCCCUAGGGUUGUAAAGCUCUUUCACCGGUGAAGAUAAUGACGGUAACCGGAGAAGAAGCCCCGGCUAACUUCGUGCCAGCAGCCGCCGUAAAAC
rnacentral:rRNA from 1 species